UGGGACUCCCUACAUCAUCAACUGCUAGAU
rnacentral:piRNA from 1 species